rnacentral:SRP_RNA from 1 species
GCUGGGCGUGGUGACGCACGCCUGUAGUCCCAGCUGCUUGGGAGGCUGAGGCAGAAGAAUUGCUUGAACCCAGGAGGUGGUGGUUGCAGUGAGCCAAGAUUGUACCCACUGCACUCCAGCCUGGGUGACAGAGUGAGACUCCGUCUCAA